rnacentral:lncRNA from 1 species
CAUAACUAAAAUGAGAAUUGGGAAACUGAGAACUCAGAAGUAUCAACUACCAUAUAACUUAAUUAAUUCACCAGAAUUGCUUUGUGAAUUUGCAAAUGCAGUUGCAAGUGGGAGAUAUGAAAACAAAAGCGUAGGGGACAUUAAAUGAUCAGUUCAAAUGGAGGAAGCCACUUUUAUAAUUGGAAUGGAAGGAUUAUGAUAUUCAGACAGGCAAAGAACAAAGGUACU